UACAGAGGUCGCAAGCGUUGUUCGGAUUCAUUGGGCGUAAAGGGUGCGUAGGUGGCGAUGUAAGUCUGGUGUGAAAUCUCGGGGCUCAACCCCGAAAUUGCAUUGGAUACUGCGUUGCUUGAGGAUUGUAGAGGAGAGUGGAAUUCACGGUGUAGCAGUGAAAUGCGUAGAUAUCGUGAGGAAGACCAGUUGCGAAGGCGACUCUCUGGGCAAUUCCUGACACUGAGGCACGAAGGCCAGGGGAGCAAACGGG
rnacentral:rRNA from 1 species